UUAGAGUUUGAUCCUGGCUCAGGACGAACGCUGGCGGCGUGCUUAACACAUGCAAGUCGAACGGAGUUGCAGGGAUAGUAUACUAACCUUGCAAUUUAGUGGCGGACGGGUGAGUAACACGUGGGCAACCAACCUUAAAGAGGGGGAUAACAACGAGAAAUCGUUGCUAAUACCGCAUAAAGUUAGCUAAUCGCAUGAUAAGCUAAUGAAAGGAGAAAUCCGCUUUAAGACGGGCCCGCGCCUGAUUAGCUAGUUGGUGGGAUAAAAGCUCACCAAGGCGACGAUCAGUAGCCGAUCUGAGAGGAUGACCGGCCACACUGGAACUGAGACACGGUCUAGACUCCUACGGGAGGCAGCAGUGAGGAAUAUUGGUCAAUGGACGCAAGUCUGAACCAGCCAUGUCGCGUGCAGGAUGACUGCCCUAUGGGUUGUAAACUGCUUUUAUAUUGGAAGAAUUGCGCUUACGAGUUAAGCGUUUGACGGUACAUUAUGAAUAAGGAUCGGCUAACUCCGUGCCAGCAGCCGCGGUAAUACGGAGGAUCCGAGCGUUAUCCGGAUUUAUUGGGUUUAAAGGGUGCGUAGGCGGAAAUGUAAGUCAGUGGUGAAAUCCUGCAGCUUAACUGUAGAAUGGCCGUUGAAACUGUGUUUCUUGAGUACAUUUGAGGUAGGCGGAAUGUGGUGUGUAGCGGUGAAAUGCAUAGAUAUACCACAGAACACCGAUUGCGAAGGCAGCUUACUAAACUGUCACUGACGCUGAUGCACGAAAGCGUGGGUAUCAAACAGGAUUAGAUACCCUGGUAGUCCACGCUGUAAACGAUGAUUACUGGUUGUUUGCGAUACACUGCAAGUGACUGAGCGAAAGCAUUAAGUAAUCCACCUGGGGAGUACGUCGGCAACGAUGAAACUCAAAGGAAUUGACGGGGGCCCGCACAAGCGGAGGAACAUGUGGUUUAAUUCGAUGAUACGCGAGGAACCUUACCUGGGUUUAAAUGGGGAGUGACAGGCUUGGAAACAGGCCCCUCUUCGGACACUCUUCAAGGUGCUGCAUGGUUGUCGUCAGCUCGUGCCGUGAGGUGUCGGGUUAAGUCCCAUAACGAGCGCAACCCCUAUCGAUAGUUACCAGCACGUUACGGUGGGGACUCUAUCGAGACUGCCGGUGUAAACCGUGAGGAGGGUGGGGAUGACGUCAAAUCAGCACGGCCCUUACAUCCAGGGCUACACACGUGUUACAAUGGCCGGUACAAAGGGCAGCUACACAGCGAUGUGAUGCUAAUCUCCAAAUCCGGUCUCAGUUCGGAUCGAAGUCUGCAACCCGACUUCGUGAAGCUGGAUUCGCUAGUAAUCGCGCAUCAGCCAUGGCGCGGUGAAUAAAGUCCCGGGCCUUGCACUCACCGCCCGUCAAG
rnacentral:rRNA from 1 species